AACGUAGGUGGCGAGCGUUAUCCGGAUUUACUGGGCGUAAAGGGUGUGCAGGCGGGCUGUUAAGUGGUGCAUGAAAUCUCCGCGCUUAACGUGGAGAGGCUGUGCCAGACUGGCAGUCUAGAGUACGAGAGAGGGUUGUGGAAUUCCCGGUGUAGCGGUGAAAUGCGUAGAGAUCGGGAGGAACAUCAGUGGCGAAGGCGGGUCUCGUGGGCAGUAACUGACGCUGAGGAGCGAAAGCGUGGGGAGCGAACAGG
rnacentral:rRNA from 1 species